rnacentral:ncRNA from 1 species
UUAAAUGCAAUGAUGGGAAUAAGUAAGCUCGAUUGAAUUGCGUGCAGAGAGCCGGUGGUUGCUGCGAACCGGUGCAAGCGUCGAUGCUGAAUGGGCCCCGGAGCCUAUGAACGGAAACUGGCAGCAGCAGCUGCUGAAGAUGUUUGUACGGAAGCUCCCCGUUAUGGAGCAACAAGGCUUAUGGGAUUUUUAUGCGCUUAGUUCUUAUAAAAAAAGCGUACCAUAAGCGAAUUAGGGUGGCACCACGGUCCCUCGUCCCUUGC